UACGGAGGGGACUAGCGUUGUUCGGAUUUACUGGGCGUAAAGCGCGCGUAGGCGGAUCGCUAAGUCAGGGGUGAAAUCCCAGGGCUCAACCCUGGAACUGCCUUUGAUACUGACGAUCUGGAGAUCGGGAGAGGUUGGUGGAAUUCCGAGUGUAGAGGUGAAAUUUGUAGAUAUUCGGAGGAACACCAGAAGCGAAGGCGGCCAACUGGCCCGAUACUGACGCUGAGGCGCGAAAGCGUGGGGAGCAAACAGG
rnacentral:rRNA from 1 species